rnacentral:miRNA from 1 species
CCCAGGAACUCCACAGACUCUGCGACGGCCGCUCCGUGAGUAGAGCUUUCGACCUGGG